UCACCUCGCUCUCUGCUGUGGACAUGGGGUACUCUUAUAUAAGUUUUUGAGGCGUGAGACAGGAAGAAGAAGGAUGUGGUUGUUGCGAGGAUUCUUUUGCUAUAAUUCAAUUUUUGGUGUGGCGCAAGCAUGCAGGGGAGGAGGAGUGGGGCUCCUGCUAGUAGUAAUAGCUACUGGAGUAGUGGUAUUUUUUUUCCCGCUCUACUUGCCAUACAAUGGAAUACUAUAAUGCAUAUAUUCAUGCCAAGAUAUAUAAUACAUACAACUAUAGUACUAGAGAUUAGUGAAUAAUUAACAAACUAUUCUACCGUUCUGAUCCUGACUAAUGACAGGGUCUGCACAGGAGGCGCCUCUUGUUCAGUUAAAAUUGGCAGGAUGUGGAUGUGAGAAGCUGGUUAUGUUUUUAUUUGUCACAUGCAUCUUUUUUUGAGAUCAGGAUAAUAUAAAAGUUGAGGAUGUGAACAUACAUAAUUAGUCAAGCCAAGACAGUACAAACCUAUGUUGCAUAUAACAUCUAAUUAAUGAAGACAUAGCACUUCCCCUGCUGUGCAGACGGCUGCAAAAUCGGAAUCAUCCAACAGAUAAUGACAGCUCUACUGGAUCAGAGUCUAAUUGAUUGCUAGUUUGCCGCUACUCCGUGGCUCUGUGUGUAUUGCUGGAAAUCCAAAGAUGGUUGCUGCGGCUACAGCAGCGCCGUCAUGCCAGCUCUGCUCCAUGUCCAUCGCCUCUACGAGGCAGAGCUUGACCUUUGCUGCUGUUAUAUGACACCUGAAGAUCCAAACUUACCCCUACAAGUAUUUGAUAUUUAGAACAAGAUUUAAUCAAAAAUUUCAACUUUGACCACCAGUAGUUUCUCAAAUGCUAGAUUUAAAAACAUAAAUGGAACACUGAAAAUUACCAUCAUAAUAUUAUAACUCAUUAGCCGCCGUAGUAUUUUUUUUCCUUCCUAGCUACUUUUUUGUUUUGCUUUUUCUUCCUUCCCCUAGCAUAAACCGGUCUGGCUGAUUAUGUUGUGUAUAAAAAAAAUUUCGCUCUAAUAUAUUGACGUGCAAUUCUUUUGCGCGUUCGUGAAAAAGAUUUUACAAUCAUUUUCAAAUAUAAAACUGAUUGUCGAAGUUCAAAUGUUUAA